GGAUCCGUAGCUUAGAGGAAAGAAGCGCCCAUCUAGUGAAUGGGGAGUCGUAGGUUCGAUUCCCACCGGAGCAC
rnacentral:tRNA from 1 species